rnacentral:rRNA from 1 species
GACGAACGCUGGCGGCGUACUUAACACAUGCAAGUCGAACGGAAAGGCCCUGCUUUUGUUGGGUGCUCGAGUGGCGAACGGGUGAGUAACACGUGAGUAACCUGCCCUUGACUUUGGCAUAACUUCAGGAAACUGGGGCUAAUACCGGAUAGGAGCUCCUGCUGCAUGGUGGGGGUUGGAAAGUUUCGGCGGUUGGGGAUGGACUCGCGGCUUAUCAGCUUGUUGGUGGGGUAGUGGCUUACCAAGGCAUUGACGGGUAGCCGGCCUGAGAGGGUGACCGGCCACACUGGGACUGAGACAAGGACCAGACUCCUACGGGAGGCAGCAGUGGGGAAUAUUGCACAAUGGGCGGAAGCGUGAGGCAGCAACGCCGCGUGCGAGAUGACGGGCUACGGGUUGUAGACCGCUUUCGCCUGAGACGAAGCGUGAGUGACGGUAAUGGGUAAAGAAGCACCGGCUAACUACGUG